GGUUGAACCCCGUGAAAUUAGAUUCAUAACAAUCGGAAUUUAUGGGUUUUGAUGCUCAUGCACAAUUAUGUUCUCUGAUUUGCCUUCUUGUUAGUUGUUCUGUUUGUUACUAUCUUUUUUCAGCGGUGUCCUUUCGUUCCUCUCGCCCUCGGCUAACUCUCUCUCCGCAAUAUAAUUGACACCAACCAGGAAGGUACUACUAAUUUCUUCUUCAUUCUAAGAAAUACUCCAUCACCUUUUACAUAUCCCGCACCUAUCUUUUUCUAAAGGCUUAGCCCUUAAAAUUGAACCGAAGUAAACCUUAAUCCUGCUAGGCCUUCCAAAAAGGAGGAGUCUCAGAUAUGUUUGGUUCUAAAAACUGGAGACCAAAUUCAUAUUUGAUAACAAAAAUAAAUUAUCAUUUGGUGAAGAAAUAAAGGUAUUUUGUUUGUUAUUGCUAGAAUAUCUCCUUCCUUACUAUUUUGGUCUGCAAUCAUUUAACUGGACUAAUUGGGAAACGCCUCUAAGGUAUUUUUUUAUAAUUAACGUAUGGGGAAGAAGCCAUCAAAGGUAUUUUUGUUUGUAGUGUUUCAAGGAGUUCGAUUUGCAAGAAUAUUUCCUUUCAUUAUAUUAAUUGGUCUGUUAUUAUAGAUGAGAACAGUUAGAAUAUUGGUGUUUUUUUCUAGUGAAUGGUACGUGCCCUUACAUAGUUACAUGUAUGGUAAUUCCUGGUUCAUUUUUUUUUAUUCUUUUGGUUGAUGGCAUGGAUAAUGAUUAUUAGUGACUGGAAUUUUUCAGUAUAUCAUGUACUUUUUUUUGUUUUUGUUUUUGUUUUGAUUAGUGAAAAAAAAGAGAAGAAAAGUACUGAGCUCAAGUUUUUUUGUGACCCUUGUCUACGCAUUAUCCACUACUGACAAUCAGAAGCCUAAUGAAGGCUGUUGUGUAUUCUUUUCCUGGUUUGCUCCUGGUUUUGUGCAAUGGGUAGUUCUGGACUCAGUAAUUGUCAGUUUUUUUUUAACUAUUACCUCACCGAUUUGCACUUAACUUGGUACAAUUCAAUUCUCUUCUAUCGUGGACUUCACCACGCUGCUGUUGGCAUCUUGCUACUAUCAAGGAUAGUGCCAUCUGGUGCUUCCCAACAGGAAGCCUUUUAAUUGUGUUUCUUAUGCUAAUAGUUUGGUCUCCGCUUGUUGAUAAUAUUACUGUGAUAAAACUUUGGUCUACAUAGUAACAUCAACCUGGUUUUGUGGUUCCUUAAUUGAUUACAUUUUCUUCUCUCUUUCAAUUUUUUUAAUUUUUGCGUGGUUGUCUACAGUGCGUUGUUCCAUGGUUGACUUAAAAAAAUUAGAGUAUUUAGUUGUCGAGGUUUGGAAAAACUAAUGGCAUUGUGGGGCUUUGUAAUAGUGUAAUAAUUUUUCUCAGUUUGCAGGAUAUAUUUUUGUCUCAACAGCUUGACUAUAAGCCUUAUUAAUGGUUUUGGAUCAGGCAUUCUUACUCUUCUUUUUUAUUUCCUCAUUAACAUGUAUUUCUAACUAGAAAAUGUCAAACCCAACCAUUAACUUUGUACUUUUGUUUUGAAGGAAUUUUGGUUGAAGGUUAUCCACAUCAAUAACAUUGUCUUUUGGUAGGGGUGUUCCAAAUCCAGUGGAUACUCAAUUUGACGUGUUCUAUUUGUAAUUCCUUUUCUUUUUGUCAUUAAGCCCUUUUUUUGUGCGUCUGAUCUCCUUCUUUCUCUCCCAUUUUUUUCAGACUAGAAGUAGAGCCUGCAUAUUUGCAUGGGGGAAGUUAUCAACAUGGUGCAUUAAGCACUUGGUUGUUUACCAUUUCUAACCUUGUUCACUUCUUUGACAUUGAGGUGCUUAAAUCUAUGGAUUAUUCUUUAAAUACUUGUUCCCGAUUUAUGUUGACAACUAGACAUGGUAUUUGCUAUCGAGUUUUUGCUAGUUACUUGUUCUAUUUGUAUUUUUUGCUAGUUACCUGUUCUAUGUGGGCCCCUAGUGGAAUAAUUUUGUCUAGCAAUAGCAUAGUUGAUUUCUUAUCUGAAUUUUUAAGGUGCUUACGUAUUGUAGUUAUUGUUUCGACACUCUUCCCUUGCAUUAUGUUGACAUGGGGCAUUUGGUAACCUUCUCUAUUGGAGUAGGUGAGACUUUGAGUUAUUUUAUCAUUUUUUGGCGAUAAUUUAUCUCGAGUUGUAUUCAUUGGUUAUUUAGCACAACUUGGUUUGUGACCCUUGUCUUUCCGUUGUACACUUGACAAUCAGAAGUCUAAGCUGGUCCUCUUGUUACGCAGGUUGUUGUUUAUUCUCUUCCUGGUUUGCUCCUGGUUUCAUGCAAUGGGUAGUUCUGGACUCGAUAAUUGUUAGUUUAUUCUUGUUACCUAACUGUUUUUCGCCUAACAUGGCACAUUUGAUUCCUCUUCUAUUGUGGACUUACUUGCAUCUUCCUACUAUCGAGGAUAGUGCCAUUUGGUACUUCCAAACAGGGGGAGGCCUGUAAAUUGUGUAGGAUAGUUCCAUUCGGUACUUCCAAACAGGGAAGCCUGUAAAUUGUGUUUCUUAUGUUAAUUGUUUGUUCUUUAUUUGAUAAUAUUACUGUGAGAGAACUUAGGUCUACAUAGUAACAUCAUAUGGUGUUCACAGUUCCUUAUUGAUUGCAUUUUUUUAAUCUUAUUUUUUAAUUUUUAAUUUUUUGUGAUAUGUUUGUGGUCGUCUACAGCGCAUUGUUCCAAGGUUGACAUUGGGAAAAAACUAGAGUUUUUAUUUGUUGAGGUUUGAAAAUGUAAUGGCAUUUUCGCGCUUUGUAAUAAAAUUUGAUUUAAUAUACAUCACUAUUAUCUUGCAGGUAUUAAUUUGUCUCAUUUUGUAGGAUAUAUUUUUGACAAAGCAUUAUCAGUUGUUUUGGAUCAGGGGGUGUUUCAAUCCAGUGGUUACCAAUUUGACAUGUUUUGUUUGUCAUUAAGCCCUCUUUUAUUGUCUCUCCCUCCCUUUUUGGAUUUCAGAAAUAGAGCUGCAUAUUUGGUUUUGGGGAACUUAUCAACAUGGUGCAUUUAACCCUUGGUGGUUAGCCAUUUUUAAACUUGUUUACAUAUCCUUUAGUGGGGGUGUUUCAGUCCAAUGGUUACCCAAUUGGGCUUGUUUUAUUUUUCACUCGUUUUUCGUUCUUCGUUAAGCUGUUUGUUUUUGUGUAUCUUAUAUAUAUAUGUCAUUUAUUUCCAGAGAUUAGAAGUAGAGCUGCAUAUUUGUUUUGGGGGGAAGUUAUCAACAUAUGGUGCAUUGAGCCUUUGGUGGUUUACCUUUUCUAACCUUGUUCAUUUCUUUUCUACACAUUGAGGUGUCUAAUUUUAUUAAUUAUUCUUUAAAUACUCUUCCCUGAUUUAUGCGGACAACUUGGCAGUUGCUAUCUGGUUUUUGCUAGUUACCUGUUCUAUGUGUAUUUUUAGUUAUUGAAUUGAUUUUUCUGUACCUUUCCUUUUAAUAAUUUAACAAUAUAUAUUAGUUGUCCUUCAUUUUUUGUUUUGCUAAAUUUCAUCCGUUGUUUUUGUUCUUCCUUGAAACUCAUUCUUCUCCCUUAUCCUCUAGUUUUUUUCAAGUGUUCCCAGGCACCUUAGUGAAAUAAUUUUGUCUAGCAUAGUUGAUUUCUUAUCUGAUUUUUUCGGUGCUUACCUAUUGUAUUCUUGUUUUAAUACUCUUCCCUUCCCAAUUAUGUCGACAUAUAGGGCAUUUGGUAACUUUUUCUAUUGGAGGAGGUGAGAUUCUGACUUAUUUUAUUGUUUUUUGUCCAAAAUUUAUCUUGAGUUGUAUUUAUUGGUUAUUUAGCAGCUUGUUUUGUGACACUUUUCUUUGCAUUAUCCACUUGACAUUCAGAAGCCUAAGCUGGGCCUCUUAUAACGGAGGCUGUUGUGUAUUCUCUUCCUGGUUUGCUCCUCGUUUCAUGCCAUGGGUAGUUCUGGACUCAAUAAUUGUCAGUUUUUUAUUGCUUGUUCCUACCCAGUUACCGCCUAACAUGGCACAUUUGAAGCCUCUUCUAUUGUGGACUUCCCCACCGCUGCUGUUGGCAUCUUGCUACUAUCAAGGAUGGUGUCAUGUUGUACUCUACCAAACAGGGAAGCCUGUAAAUUGUGUCUUAUAUUAAUAGUUUGGUCUUUUCUUUAUGAUAAUCUUAUUGUGAGAGAACUUUGGUCUAAUAAGUUGUAAUAUCAACCGGUGUUUGCAUUUCCUUAGUUGAUUGUAUUUUCUUCUCUCUUUUUAUUUUCUAAAUUUUCUAAUCUGUGUGGUUGUCUACUGUGCAUUGUUCCUAGGUUGACUUUGGAAAAAACUAGAGUAUUUAAUUGUUGAGGUUUGAAAAAUUAAUGGCUUUGUGGGGCUUUUUAAUUAAAACUUGAUUAAACAGCCAUCAGUAUUAUCUCCUGUGUAGUUGGUCUCAUUUUGCAGGAUAUAUUUUCAACUCUUAAUAUUUUGACUAAGCCUUAUCAGUGGUUUUGGAUUACACAUUCUUACUCUUCUUUUCUAUUUCCACAUUCACUUUUAUUUCUAACCAGAAAAUGGUAAAGCCCAAAUAGUAACUUUUUUACUUUUGUUUUGAAGGUUAUCCAUGUCAACAACAUUAUCCUUUGGCUGGGGUGUUUCAGUCCAGUGGUUACACAAUUUAAUGUGUUUUAUUUGUCAUUCGUUUUUUUGUUUUUGAUCAAGCCCUUUGUUUUUGUGCGUCCUAUCUCUCUCUCACUCAUUUUUAGAGAUUAGAAGUAGAGCUGCAUAUUUGUUUUGGGGGGAAGUUAUCAACAUGGUGCUUUGAGCCCUUGUUGGUUUACUCUUUCUAACCUUUGUUCAUUUAUUUUCUACACAUUGAGUGCCUAAUUUUAUGGAUUAUUCUUUAAAUACUCUUCCCUGAUUUAUGUGGACAACUUGAGAUGGCAUUUGCUAUUGCUAGUUAUUUGUUCUCUAUGUAUCUUUAGUUAUUGAAUUGAAUUUUCGGUACCUUCUCUUUUGAGGAGUUAACAAUAAAAAGUAAUCCUUCAUCUGUGGUUUUUGUUCUUACUUGAGUCUCAUUUUUCUCCCUGAUCUUUCAUUUGUUGUUUUUGCCAAAUUUCAUCCUUUGUUUUUGUUCUUCCUUGAGUCUCCUUCUCCCAGGCAUGGUGGGUCUUUAGUGAAAUAAGUUUGUCUGGCAUAGUUAAAUUCUUUUUUGAAUUUUUAUGGUGCUUCCCUAUUGUAUUCCUGUUUUAAUGCUCUUCCCAUCCCAUUAUGUUGACAUAUAGGGCAUUUGGUAACCUUCUCUAUUGGAGGAGGCGAGGUACUGACUUUAUUUUAUUGUUUUUUGUCCAAAAUUAUCUUGAAUUGUAUUCAUUGGUUAUUUAGCAGCUUGUUUUGUGACCCUUGUCUUUGUGUUAUCCACUGACAUUCAGAAGCCUAAGCUGGACCUCUUAUUAUGAAGGCUGUUGUGUAUUCUCUUCCUGGUUUGCUCUUGGUUUCAUGCAAUGGGUAGUUCUGGACUCAAUAAUUGUCAGUUUUUUCUUAUUUGUUACCUAACCAGUUAUCGUCUAACAUGGCACAUUUGAAUCCUCUUCUAUUGUGGACUUUCCCACCACUGCUGUUGCUACUAUCAAGGUAGUGCUAUCUUGUACUACCAAACAGGGAAGCCUGUAAAUUGUGUCUUAUGUUAGUAGUUUUGUCUUUUCUUUAUGAUAAUCUUACUGUGAGAGAACUUUGGUCUACAUUGUAACAUCAACCGGUGUUUGCAGUUCCUUAAUUUGAUUGCAUUUUCUUCUCUUUUUAUUUUCUUUUUUAAAAUUUUCUAAUCUGUUUGUGGUUGUCUACACUGCAUUGUUCCUAGGUAAAGAUAAUAUUACUGUGAGAGAUCUUGGGUCUACGUUGUAACAUCAACAGGUGUUUGCAGCUCCUUAAUUGAUUGCGUUUUCUUCUCUCUUUAUGUUUUUUAAUAAAAUUUGAUUAAAUAGUCAUCAGUGUUAUCUUCUGUGUAAUAGUUUAUCUUAUUUUGCAGGAUAUAUUUUUGACUCUUAACAUUUUGAUCAGUGGUUUUGGAUCACAUAUUAUUACUCUUUUCAAUUUCCGCAUUCUCUUUUAUUUCUAACCAGAAAUGUCAAGCCCAACAAUUAACUUUUUAUUUUUGUUUUGAAGGUUAUCCACAUCCAUAACAUUAUCUUUUGGUGGCGGUGUUUCAGUCCAGUGGUUUCCCAAUUUGACAUUCAUUUUUUUCUUCAUUAAGCCCUUUAUUUUUGUGUGCCUUAUAUCUUACUUUCUCUCUCAUUUUUUUCCCCAGAUUAGAAGUAGAGUUGCACGUGUUUUGGGGCUAGUUAUCAACAUGGUGCAUUGAGCCCUUGGUGGUUACCUUUUCCAACCUUGUUGAUUUAUCCACAUCAAUAUAAUUAUGCUUUGAUGGAGGUCUUUCAAUCCAGUGGUUACCCAAUUUGACGUGUUUUCUUUGUCAUUCGUUUCUUAUUCCUCAUCAGGCCUUUUUUCUGCUCGUCAUAUUCUCUCAUUUUUUUCAGAGAUUAGAAGUAAAGCUGCUCAUUGUUUUGGUGGAGUUAUCAACAUGGUGCAUUGAGCCUUUGGUGGUUUACCCUUUUCUAACCUUGCUCAUUUCGGAUUAUGCAUUCUUACUCUUCUUUUCAAUUUCCGCAUUCACAUUUAUUUCGAACCAGAAAAUAUCAAGCCCAACACUUAACUUUUAAUUUUUGUUUUGAAGGAAUUUUGUUUGAAUGUUAUCUACAUCAAUAACAUUAUCCUUUGGUCCCUGUGUUUCAGUCCAGUGGUUACCCAAUUUGAUGUGUUUUAUUUGUCAUUCUCUUUUUGUUCUUCAUUUAGCCCUUUGUUUUUGUGCAUCUUAUCCCCCUCUUUCUAUCGCAUUUUUUUCUUCCAAAGAAUCGAAGUAGUGCUGCAUGUGUUUUGGGGGAAGUUAUCAACAUGGUGCAUUGACUCCUUUGUGGUUUACUUUCAAACCUUGUUUAUUUAUCCGCAUCAAUAUCAUUAUGCUUUGGUGGGGGUGUUUCAAUCCAGUGGUUACCCAAUUUGACGUGUUUUCUUUUUUCAUUCGUUUCUUAUUCCUCAUUAAGCCCUUUUCCUGCGUCUUAUCUCUUUUUUCCCCCAGAGAUUAGAAGUAAAUCUGCACAUUUGUUUAGGGGGAGGUAUCAACGUGGUGCAUUGAUCCCUUCGUGGUUUACCUUUUCACCUUUUCUAACCUUGGUCAUUUCUUUUUUAGAGAUUGAGGUGCCUAAAUUUAUGAAUUAUUAUUUAAAUACCCUUCCCUGUUUUAUGUUUACAACUUGUCAUGGCAUUCACUAUCGAGUUCUUGCUAGUUACCUGUUCCCUAUGUAAUUUUAGUUAUUGACUUGAAUUUUCUGUACCUUUUUAUUUUUUCCUUGAUUAGUUGACUAAGAAAGUAGUUGUCCUUCAUUUUUUUGUUUUUCCUUGACUCCUUUUUCUUCCUUAUCUGUAGUUUUUCUCUUUGAGUGUCCCCAGGCUCAUAGGCAAACUAUUAACUUGGUGCAGACGGGCCCUAGUGCAAUAAUAUUUCUAGCUUAAUUGAUUUUUUUAUCUGAAUUUUGAAGGUGCUUUUGUAUUAUUGUUUUAGUACUCUUCCUUUCCAUAAUGUUGACAUAGGGAAUUUGGUAGCCUUCUUCGGGUAGGUGGGGCUCUGACUUAUUUUAUCAUUUUUUGUCCAUGAGUUAUUUGAGUUGUAUUCAUCAGUUAUUUACCAACUUGUUUUGUGAUCCUGAUCUUUGCAUUAUUCACUGACAAUCAGAAGCCUAAGCUGGACCUCUUAUUAUGAAGGCUGUGUUGUAUUAUCUUCGUGGUUUGCUCCUGGUUUCGUGCAAUGGGUAGUUUUGAACUCGACUUGUCAGUUUUUUCUUGCUUUUAAUUGUUUUACGCCUAACAAUGGCAAAUUUCAAUUCUUUUCUAUUUUGCGACUUCCCUGCUGCCUCUGUUGGCAUUUUGUUGCUAUCAAGGAUAGUGCCAUCCGGUAAUUCCAAACUGGGAAGCCUGUAAAUUGUGUUUCAUAAGUUAAUAAUUUGGUCUUUUCUUAUUGAUAAUAUUACUGUGAGAGAACUUCGGUCUACAUAAUUAUGUCAACCGGUGUUUGCAGUUCCUUAAUUGAUUGCAUUUUGUUCUCUCUUUUGUUUUUUUAAAUGUUUUUAAUCUGUGUGGUUGUCUACUGUGCAUUGUUCCUAGGUUGACUUGGAAAAAACUAGAGUAUAUAGUCGUUGAGGUUCGAAAAAUUAAUUGUAUUAUGUGGUUUUGUAAAUUGUAAUAAAUUUUGAUUUAAUGUACAUCACUAUUAUCUUAUGUAUAAUAAUUUAUCUCAUUUUGCUGGAUAUAUUUUUGACUCUACAUUUUGACUAAGCCUUGUCAGUGGUUUUGAAGCAGGCAUUCUUACUCUUUCUGUAUCAGCAUUCACAUUUAUUUCUAAACUAAAAAUAGACCAACAAUUAACUUUUUACUUUUGUUUUGAAGGAAAUUUGGUUGAAGGUUAUCUACAUCAAUAACAUUAUCCUUUGGUCCCCGUGUUUCAGUCCAGUGGUUACCCAAUCUGUAGUGUUUUAUUUGUCAUUCUUUUUGUUCUUCAUUUAGCCCUUUGUUUUUGUGCAUCUUAUCCCUCUCUUUCUCUCGCAUUUUUUUCUUCCAGAGAUUAGAAGUAGAGCUGAGCUGCAUGUGUUUUUGGGGAAGUUAUCAACAUGGUGCAUUGAACCCUUGGUGGUUUACCUUCCAAACCUUUGUUCAUUUCUUUUCUACACAUUCAUUGAGUGCCUAAUUUUAUUGAUUAUUCUUUAAAUACUCUUCCCUGAUUUACUGCGUGGUCAACUUGAGAUGGCAUUUGCUAUCUAGUUUUGGCUAGUUUCAUGUUCUCUGUGUAUCUUUAGUUAUUGAAUUGAAUUUUCAGUACCUUUUCUUUUGAGAAGUUAACAAUAAAAAGUAAUCCUUCGUACGUUGUUUUUGUUCUUCCUUUAGUCUCAUUCUACUCCCUUAUCCCCUAGUUUUUAUGUUCAGUGUUCCAAGGGAUAGUGGGUCUUUAGUGAAAUAAAUUUGUCUGGCAUAGUUAAUUUCUUUUCUGAAAUUUUAUGGUGCUUACCUAUUGUAUUCUUGUUUUAAUGGUCUUCCCAUCCUAUUAUGUUGACAUAUAGGGCAUUUGGUAACCUUCUUUAUUGGAGGAGGCGAGGUUCUGACUUAUUUUAUUGUUUUUUGUCCAAAAUUAUCUUGAAAUGUAUUCAUUGGUUAUUUAACAGCUUGUUUUGUGACCCUGGUCUUUCUGUUGUCUACUGACAUUCAGAAGCCUAAGCUGGACCUCUUGUUAUGAAGGCUGUUGUUUAUUCUCUUCCUGGUUUGCUCCUGGUUUCAUGCAAUGGGUAGUUCUGGACUCAAUAAUUGUCAGUUUUUUCUUGUUUGCUACCUAACCAGUUAUCGUCUAACAGGGCACAUUUGAGUCCUCUUCUAUUGUGAACUACUUACCCAUCAUUUCUGUUGCUACUAUCAAGAAUAGUGCCAUCUUGUACUACCGAAUAGGGAAGCCUGUAAAUUGUGUCUCAUGUUAAUAGAUUGGUCUUUCUUUACGAUAAUCUUACUGUGAGAGAACUUUGGUCUACGUUGUAACAUCAACCGGUGUUUGCCGUUCUUUACUUGAUUGCAUUUUCUUCUCUCUUUUUGUUUUGUUUUUUUUAAAUUUUCUAAUAUGUUUGUGGUUGUCUACCCUCCAUUGUUUCUAGGUAUAGAUAAUAUUACUGUGAGAGAUUUUUGGUCUUUACUUUGUAACAUCAACAGGUGUUUGCAGCUCCUUAAUUGAUUGUGUUUUCUUCUCUCUUUGUGUUUUAAAUUUUUUUUAAUCUGUGUGGUUGUCAUUGUUCUUAGGUUGACUUUGGAAAAGACUAGAGUAUUUAGUCAUUGAGAUUUGAAAAAUUAAUGGCAUUGUGGGGCUUUUUAAUCAUAAUUUGAUAAUAUCCAUCAGUAUUAUCUUCUGUGUAAUAGUUUCUCAUUUCGCAGGAUAUAUUUUUGACUCUUGACAUUUUGACCAAGCCUUAUCAGUAGUGCUUUUGGAUUACACAUUCUUACUCUUCCUUUUCAAUUUCUGCAUUCUCAUUUAUUUCUAACCAGAAAAUUUUAAGCUCAAACAGUAACUUGUUUACUUUUGUUUUGAAGGUUAUCACAUCAAUAACAUUAUCGUUUGGUGGGGGUGUUUCAGUUCAGUGGUUACCCAAUUUGACAUGUUUUAUUAGUCAUUCGUUUUUUGUUCUUCAUUAAGUCCAUUGGUUUUGUGUGUCUCGUCUCUCUGUCUCAUUUUUUUUCUUCCAGAGAUUAGAAGGGCCGCAUUGAGGUGCCUAAUUUUAUGGAUUAUUCUUUAUACACUUCCCUGAUUUAUGUGGUCAACUUGACUUGGCAUUUAUCUUGCUUUUGCUAGUUACCUAUUCUAUGUGCAUUUUCAGUUAUUGACUUGAAUUUUCUGUACCUUCUCUUUUGACAAGUUAAUGAAAAAAAAGCAGUCGUCCUUCAUUUUUUGUUUUUGCUAAAUUUUAUCCUUAGUUUUUUGGUCUUCCUAGAGUCAUUUUUCUUGCUCAUCCUCUAGUUUUUCUCUUUUGAGUGUUCCCGGGCAUAGUUGGCCCCUAGUGAAAUAAUUUUGACUAGCAUAGUUGAUUUCUUAUCUGAAUUUUAUGGUGCUUACCUACAGUAUUAUUUGUUUUAAUACUCGUCCCUUCCCUUUAUGUUGACAUAGGGCAUUUUGGUAGGCUCCGACUUAUUAAUUGGUUAUUUAACAGCUUGUUUUGUGACGCUUGUUUUUGUGUUAUCCACCGUCAUUCAGAAGCCUAAGCCGGACCUCUUAUCACGAAGGCUGUCGUGUAUUCUCUUCCUUGUUCACUCCUGGUUUCGUGCAAUGUAAAGUUCUGGACUCGAUAAUUGUCUGUUUUUUCGUGCUUGUUAACUAAACGUUCAUCGUCUUGAAUAUUCUUGUAUUGUGGUCUACCCCCACCGCUGGUGUUGGCAUCUUGCUACUAUCAAGGAUAGUGCCAUCUUGUACUAUCAAAUGGGGAAGCCUGUAAAUUGUCUUAUGUAAUAGUUUGGUCAUUUCUUUCUAAUAAUAUUACCGUGAGAGAACUUUGGGCUACAUUAUAACAUCAACCAGUGUAUGCAGUUCCUUAAUUAAUUGCAUUUUCCCUCUCUCUUUCUCUCUCUCUUUAAUUGUAAUUUUUCUAAUGUGUUGUUGUCUACAGUGCAUUGUUCCUAGGUUGACAUUGGAAAAAACUAGAUUAUUUAGUCGUUGAGGUUUGAAAAAUUAAUUGCAUUGUUGGGCUUUUUUUAUAAAAUUUGAUUAAAUAACCAUCGCUAUUAUCUUUUGUGUAAUAAUUUGUGUCAAUUUGCGGGAUAUAUAUUUUGAAUCUCAAAAUUUUGACAACGCGUUAUUGUGUUUUUGGAUCACGCAUUCUUGCUCUUCUUUUCUAUUUCUGCAUUCACAUUUAAUUCUUACCAGAAAAUGUUAAGCCCAGAUAGUAACUUUUUUACUUUUGUUUUGAAGGAAUCUUGUUUGAAAAUUAUGCACAUCAUUAACAUUAUCCUUUGGUGGGGGUGUUUCAAUCCGGUGGUAACCCAAUUUUUACGUGUUUUAUUUGUCAUUUGUUUUUUGUUCUUCAUCAAGUCCAUUGUUUUUGUACGUUUUCUCUCUCAUUUUUUUUCCAGAGAUUAGAAGUAGAGUUGCAUGUGUCUUGGAGGAGGUUAUCAGCAUGGUGCAUUGAGCCCUUGGUUGUUUACCUUUUCUAACCUUGUUAAAUUUCUUUUCUACCUCAUUUUAUUGUUUAUUCUUUAAAUACACUUCCCUGAUUUAUGUGGACAAAUUUACAUGGCGUUUGCUAUCUAGUUUUUGCCAGUUACCUGUUUUAUGUGUAUUUUUAGUUAUUGGCUUGAAUUUUUUGUACCUUUUCUUUUGAUAAGUUAACAACAACAAAAAGUAGUCGUCCUUCAUUUUUUGUUUUUGCUAAAUUUCAUCCUUUGUUUUUUUGGCCUUCCUUGAGUGUCAUUCUUCUCCCUUGUCCUCUUGUUUUUCUCUUCGAGUGUUCCCAGGCACAGUGGGCCCUGAGUGAAAUAAUUUUGUCUAGCAUUGUUGAUUUCUUAUCUGAAUCUUUUUUGGUGCUUACUUAUUGUAUUAUUGUUUUUAUACUCCUCUCCCAUUAUGUUGACAUAGGGCUUUUGGUAACCUUCUUUACCGGAGGAGGUGAGACUAUUUUAUCCAUUUUUGUCCAUAAUUUAUCUUGAGUUGUAUUCAUUGGUUAUUUAGCCAGCUUGUUUUGUGACCCUUGUCUUUUCGUUUCGUUAUCCACCGACAUUCAGAAGCCUAAGCUGGCCCUCUUAUUACGAAGGUCAUAUUGUAUUCUCUUGUUUGCUCCUGGUUUCUUGCAAUGGGAAGUUCUGGAAUUAAGAAAUUGUCUGUUUUUUCUUGCUUGUUACUUGAGCAUUUAUUGUCUAACAUGCACAUUUGAAUCCUCUUCUAUUGUCAGUAUUGUGGAUUUCCCCACCAAUGCUGUUGGCAUCUUGCUACUAUUAAGGAUAGUGCCAUCUUGUUCUACCAAACAGGGAAGCCUGUAAAUUGUGCGUCAACAGUUUGGUCUUUUCUUUUUAAAAUAUUACUGUUAACUUUGGUCUACAUAGUAACAACUGGUGUUCGCAGUUCCUUUAUUGAUUGUAUUUAUCUUCUGUCUUUUUUGUUUUUCUAUUUUUUUUUAAAUCGGUGUGUGAUUGUCUGCAGUGCAUUGUUCCUAGUUUGACUUUUUGGAAAGUAUUUAGUCGUUGAGGCUUGAAAAAUUUAUGGCGUUGUGAGACUUAAUAAAAUGUUAUUAAUUAUCCAUCACUAUCAUCUUCUGUGCAAUAGUUUGUUUUGUCUCAUUGUGCAAGAUAUAUUUUUGACUAUUAACAUUUUGACCAAGCCUUAUUAGUGGUUUUGGAUUAUGCAUUCUUACUCUUCUUUUCAAUUUCUGCAUUCGCGUUUAUUUCUAACCAGAAAAUGUCAGGACAAAAUUAACUUUUAUUUUUUUUUUGUUUUGAAGGGAUUUUGUUUGAAGGUUAUCCACAUCAAUAACAUUAUCCUUUGGUGGGGGUGUUUUGGUCCAGUGGUUUCCCAAAUUGACGUGUUUUAUUAGUCCUUCGUUUUUUUUUCUUCAUCAAGUUCUUUGGUUUUGUGCGCCUUAUCUCUCUCUUUCUCUCUCAUUCCUGAGAUUAGAAGUAGAGCUGCAUGUGUUUUGGGGGAAGUUAUGAACAUGGUGCAUUGUGCCCUUGGUGGUUUACCUUUUCUAACCUUGUUAAUUUAUUUUCUACCACAUUGAGAUGCCUAUUUUAUGGAUUAUUCUUUAAAUACACUUCCCCGAUUUAUGUGGACAACUUGACAUGGCAUUUGCUAUCUAGUUUUUGCUAAUUACCUGUUCUGUCUAUGUUUAGUAGGAAGUGGAAUUUAUACAAUGGAUUUAGAAGCAUCAAACCUCUCUUGUUCGGAAGAAUCGAAAUGGUACCAGCCAUACUUACUAAUAGAAGGAUAUGGCAGAAAUAUGUAAAAUUGUCCCUCCUAAACCAGAAUAAAUGGGCACUAGUUAGGAGAGGUGCGCUUGCGGCGAGCAGAAGCAAGGUUAUAAGAUACCUCAGGAAAGCUUGGCUUGAAUUUUCUGUACCUUUUCUUUCGAUAAGUUGACAAAAAAAAGUAGUCAUCCUUCAUUUUUUGUUUUUGCUAAAUUUCAUCCUUUGUUUUUGGGUCUUUCCUUGAGUCUUAUUCUUCUCCCUUAUCCUCUAGUUUUACUCUUCGAGUGUUCCCAGACACAGUGGGCCCCUAGUGAAAUAAUUUUUCUAGCAUUGUUGAUUUCUUCUUUGAAUUUUUUUGGUGCUUACCUAUUGUAUUAUUGUUUUAAUACUCUUCCCUACCAUUAUGUUGACGUAGGGUAUUUGGUAACCUUCUCUAUUGGAGGAGGACUUUCCAACCGCUGAUGUUGGCAUCUUUGCUACUAUCAAGGAUGUUGCCAUCAAACAGGGAAGCCUGUAAAUUGUACGUCUUACGUUAGCAGUUUGGUCUUCUCUUUUUGAUAAUAUUACUGUUAGAGAACUUUGGUCUACAUAGUAACAUAAACUGUUGUUCGCAGUUAAUUGAUUUCAUUUUCUUCUCUCAUUUUUUUAAUCUGUUUGUGGUUGUCUUACGGUGUAUUGUUCCUAGGUUGACUUUGGAAAGUAUUUUGUCGUUGUGGUUUGAAAAAUUAAUGGCAUUGUGUGGCGCUUUUCAAUUAAAUUUGAUUAAAUUUUCAUCAGUGUUAUCUUCUGUGUAAUAGUUUAUCUCAUUUUGCAGGAUAUAUUUUUGACUCUUACAUUUUGACUAUAAGCCUUAUCAGUGGUUUUGGAUCACAUAUUCUUACUGUUUUCAUUUUUACUCUCUUCAAUUUCCGCAUUCACUUUUAUUUCUAACCAGAAAUUUCAAGGCCAACAAUUUACUUUUUAUUUUUGUUUUUGUUUUGAAGGAAUUUUGUUUGAAGGUUAUCCACAUCAAUAACAUUAUCCUUUGGUGGGGAUGUUUCAGUCCAGCGGUUACCCAAUUUGACAUGUUUUAUUUGUCAUUCGUUUUUUUUUCUUCAUUAAGCCCUUUAUUUUUAUGCUCCUUAUCUCUUACUUUCUCUCUCAUUUUCCCCCCCAGAUUAGAAGUAGAGUUGCAUGUGUUUUGGGGGUAGUUAUCAACAUGGUGCAUUGAUCCCUUGGUGGUUACAUUUUCUAACCUUGUUGAUUUGUUUGGGGGGAGUUGUCAACAUGGUGCAUUGGGCCUUUGGUGAUUUACCCUUUUCCUAACCUUGCUCAUUUCGGAUCAUGCGUUGUUACUCUUUUCAAUUUUCGCAUUCACAUUUAUUUCAAACCAGAAAAUAUCAAGCCCAACAAUUAACUUUUAAUUUUUGUUUUGAAGGAAUUUUGUCUGAAGGUUAUCGACAUCAAUAACAUUAUCCUUUGGUCCCCGUGUUUCAGUCCAGUGGUUACCCAAUUUGAUGUGUUUUAUUUGUCAUUCUUUUUUUGCUCUUCAUUUAGCCCUUUGUUUUUGUGCAUCUUAUCCCUCUUUCUCUCACAUUUUUUUUCUUCCAGAGAUUAGAAGUAGAGCUGCAUGUGUUUUGGGGGAAGUUAUCAACAUGGUGCAUUGAGCCCUUGGUGGUUUACCUUUCAAACCUUGUUUAUUAAUCCACAUCAAUACCAUUAUGCUUUGGUGGGGGUGUUUCAAUCCUUUGGUUACCCAGUUUGACGUGUUUUUUUUUUAAUUUGUUUCUUAUUCCUCAUUAAGCCCUUUUUCUGUCCGUCUUAUUAUCCCUCUCUCAUUUUUUUCCCCAGAGAUUAGAAGUAAAUCUGCACAUUUGUUUAUGGGGAGUUAUCAUCGUGGUGCAUUCAGCCCUUGGUGGUUUACCUUUUCUAACCUUGCUCAUUUCUUUUUUAGAGAUUGAGGUGCCUAAAUUUAUGAAUUUUUAUUUUAAUACUCUUCCCUGAUUUAUCUUUACAACUCAUCAAGGCAUUCGCUAUCUAGUUCUUGCUAGUUACAUGUUCUCUGUGUAAUUUUUAUAUUUUUUUUUCCUCAAGUCUCCUUUUUCUUCCUUAUCCUGUAGUUUUUCUCUUCAAGUGUCUGCAGGCUCAGAGGCAGACUGUUAACUUGGUGCAGUGGGACCUAUUGGAAUAAUAUUUCUAGCGUAGUUGAUAUUUUAAUCUGAAUUUGUAAGGUGCUUUUGUGUUAUUAUUUUAAUACUCUUCCUUUCCAUAACAUAGGGAAUUUGGUAGCCUUCUCCGAGUAGGUGAGGCUCUGACUUAUUUUAUCAUUUUUUGUCCAUUAGUUUUUUUAAGUUGUAUUCAUCAGUUAUUUCCCAACUUGUUUCGUGACCCUGGUCUUUGCAUUAUCCACCGACAAGCAGAAGCCUAAGCUAGACCUCUUAUUAUUAAGGUUGUGAUAUAUUAUCUUCGUGCUUUGCUUCUGGUUUCGUGCAAUGGUAGUUCUGGACUUGUCAGUUUUUUCUUGCUUUUAAUUGUUUUAUGCCUAACAUAGCACAUUUCAAUUCUAUUCUAUUUUGCGACUUCACCGCUGCUGCUGUUGGCAUUUUGCUGCUGUCAAGGAUAGUGCCAUCCGGUAAUUCCAAACUGGGAAGCCUGUAAAUUGUGUUUCAUAAGUUAAUAAUUUAGUCUUUUCUUAUUGAUAAUAUUAUUGUACGUCCUAUCUCUCUCUCUCUCACUCACUCAUUUUGAGAGAUUAGAAGUAGAGCUGCAUAUUUGUUUUGGGGGAAGUUAUCAACACGGUGCUUUGAGCCCUUGUUUGUUUACUCCUUCAAACCUUUGUUCAUUUCUUUUCUACACAUUGAGUGCCUAAUUUUAUGGAUUACUCUUUAAAUACUCUUCCCUGAUUUACGUGGACAACUUGAGAUGGCAUUUUUCCUAUCUAGUUUUUGCUAGUUAUCUGUUCUCUGUGUAUUCUUAGUUAUUGAAUUGAAUUUUUGGUACCUUAUACUUUCAUUUUGUGUUUUUGCAAAAUUUCAUCCUUUGUUUUGUGUUCUUCCUUGGGUCUCAUUCUUCUCCCUAGUGUUCCCAGGCAUUGGGUCUUUAGUGAAUUAAAUUUGUCUGGAAUAGUUGAAAUUUUUUUCUGAGUUUUUAUGGUGUUUACCUAUUGUAUUAAAUUUUUAAUACUUUUCCCAUCCCAGUAUGUGACUUAUAGGGCAUUUGAUAACCUUCUCUAUUGGAGGAGGCGAGGUUCCGACUUAUUUUAUUGUUUUUUGUCCAAAAUUAUCUUGAAUUGUAUUUUUAAUUGGUUAUUUAGCAGCCAGCUUGUUUUGUGACCCUUGUCUUUGUGUUGUCCACUGACAUUCAGAAGCCUAAGCUGGACCUCUUAUUAUGAAGGCUGUUGUGUAUUCUCUUCCUGAUUUGCUCCUGGUUUCAUGCAAUGGGUAGUUCUGGACUCGAUAAUUUAUAAUUGUCAGUUUUUUCUUAUUUGUUACCUAACCAGUUAUCGUCUGACAUGGCACAUUUAAAUCCUCUUCUAUUGUGGACUUACCCACCACUGUCAUAGUUGUUACGGCGCUACGGCGAGUCAUGGCGGAAGCCGAUUGCCUGGACGCCUAGGCGACAAGGCGACCGUCAUGGCAUCUGUAAGGUGACAAGUCGUUUACAAUGUGCAAUUUAUAUAUUAUUUAUUUUACUUAACAAGUAUACUGGGAAUAAAAUUUCAUAUACAUUAAAACUCAAAACAUAACACUAUGGAAUAACAUUAAAGACAUAAUUAUGUAAAUACUUAGCAAUAACAAUCCAAAAACAAAAUACUUGAUAUUAAAAAUUUGUACAACAAACACCACAUAGAAAAUAAAGUUGCAACCAACCAUCACAAAUACGUAGUCUAAUAACUAAUAAAACACCAUCAUAACAAGUCAAAAUAAUGUCUAGACUCUCUACACUAGUCUAGAAACAUCGUUCAAUCAAAAUCACAUAGAAAAGGUCAUCUCCAUAUCUUCCACGAGAACUCUCAUUCAAAGGCGUAGGUGGUGGUCUUUCUCCAAAAUCAUCCUCCACAUCAUCAUCAUUUGGAAUUCUCUCUUCAUCAAUUUCAUUAUCGGAAUCGGAAUCCAUCAACCUUGAUUCCCUUGAAGUUGAACCACCACCACGUCGAGAGUACGUUUAUUAUUAGUAUUAGCACGAGCACUCCUUGAAAGAUUGCGACCCUCAAGCAUGUUGGAUGCACCGGUUGUUCGAUCUACAUCAUUCCAUGUAAGAUCUCCCAGGAUGAACAAGAUCGGCAUCAUUAUCAAUCCAUUCAUUACCCCAUUCAAAGUCAUUAAUGACUAAUGGAUCAAAAUUAUUGUCAAGUUCACGCCUCUUUUGGAACAUUGAGUCGAUCUUUCGAUUGUAUUGGACAUACACCAAGUCACUCAAUCGUUUGUGUUCCAAUUUAUUCCUCUUCUUUGUAUGAAUCUAAAAUAAAUAGAACAAAAAAUAAUAAUAUUAAUGAUAAAAUUUUAAUAAGAGUGAAUGAUUUAUUACUUUUGAAAUUUGAACUAACAAUAGAAAGUACUUACAAACUUAAAUGUACUCCAAUUGCGCUCGCAACCGGAAGAACAACAGAGUCCUAGAAUUCUUUUUGCAAACGAGGAUAGCUCAAUAGCUCACGCUCCAAAAGCAUUCCACCAAUCAACUAGCAAAUAUUUAAAAGAAAUAUAAAUAUUUUUAAAGGGAAGAAAGGAAGAAUGUAUAUAAAUUAUAAUCAUAAUUUAGCUUUUAUAUAUUUAUAUAUAUAUAUAUAUAUAUUUGAAUAUACAUACGAGGAGCAUCAUAGUUGUCGGCUAGAUUGCUUAUCUUGUCUAGUAAAUCUAACUCGAACACCAUCUUUGCAAGAACGUCAUUGAAGUCAUCUCGUAAAGCAUUAGCAAAUAACCGACGUUCUUCUUUGAUAUCAAAGUACUUGCCCGGAUUGAGAAACAACGCAGCCCCAUAUAAUUUUCCCAUCGCCGCUCAACAAUUUCAAUCACCUUCUUAUACAGUCUUUGUUUGUUAUCAAAUGCAUUUUUGAUUUUUUUCUUCGCGCAUUCCAUCGCAGCAAUAACUUCCGGCAUAGCAGGAUUCUCAUCACUAUCAACAAUCUUCAAGACUAUAAGAAGUGGCUGUGACGCCCUAAUACAAUCCUCAACAGUAUGUCAAAAUAUUGUUGAAAUAAUAAUAUCACAUACUUUUUACCCUGCUUCAGUAGCCGACAACUUUGAUUUUGACCAAUCCUCGCUGAUGAACAAAUGCCUCAAUGCAUCUUUAUUCUUGUACAAACUCUGCAAGGUGAGGAAAGCUGUAGCAAAUCUAGUAACUGUGGGUCUCACAAGAUCCCUCCCAUUCGUUUUCUCCCUCAUCGCACUGAGAAGACGACCAUGUCUAUAAAUGAAUGUUGUAAUUCUCCUUGCAUUUGUGAUUGUGGGAUGAAAUUGUUUCAACUUGCUUAUGUCCUCUAACAUAAGGUCAAGGCAGUGAGCGGCGCAAGGUGUCUAAAACAGUGUAGGUCUCCUCUCCAUUAGUAUAUGCCCCGCUGCCUUGUAAUUAGAGGCAUUGUCUGUGACCACCUGAACAACAUACUCGAGGCCAGUUUCCUCGAUCUUGCUAUCAAGUAGAUUUGUCAACAUUGUGGUAUCUUGAGACUGACUGGAGGCAUCAACAGAACCCAUGAAAUAAGUCCCCUCCGGACUAUUAACAAGGAAAUUCAACAAGUGUCUUCCCCUCUUAUCUGUCCAACCAUCCGACAUGAGUGAGCAGUCGUAUUCCUUUCAAGCAACUUCAUGUUUCUUCUUUAAGUCAUCGGUUUUCUUCUUUGCCUUCUCAAGUAAAGGAACCCUCAACUUAUGGCUUGAAACCCGGCCCAUAUUGCCCUAUGGACUCGACCAUCACUUCAAAUCUCUUUGAAUUUGCAGCAUUGAAUGGUAUGCCAUAUUCGUAAAAAAAGUCGGCAACGUGCAUUUGGACUCUCUCCUUUUCCUCCGUUGUCCUCUAACGACUUUCAAUACUCGUUUGACUCAAACGCUUGCUAUGCCUCUCCUCUACAACUUCUUCGGGAGUCUUCCUUAGAAGUGCUUCAACCGUCUUAGCUUUUGGUUGUGGAUUUUGGAAUUGAAAUACAACAUUCUUCCUUUUAGAAGCCGUCCCAGAACUUGGGAUAGUGUUAGAAGAAGUAUUGGAAGUCAUGGUUGGACGAGCAGAUGAUUGUUCUUCUUGAACUUCUACUAUAUCAUCAUCAUCAUCAUCAUCAUCAUCUAGCUCAGUGGCUUGUUCUUCUUUCUACUAUUCAAAGCCGCUUGCAUCUCCCUCAUAAUUUCUUUUGUUUUGGGACACUUAGCUACAUCUCCAUAAUUUUCGGCUAGAUGUUGUUUGAGCCUUUUGAUGCCCGAAUGACAUUUCUUCCCACAAAAGUAUACAUUGCACGACAUCCUUAUUACUUAAAUCCGGCCAAUAUCCAUAUUUUUAACCCGGAUCGUUCGAUUUAGCUUUUCUUUUAGGGUCCUUCGUUAUAUCAUAAUUAUUGGCCCCCGAACUUUUCGCCAUUUUACUGUCUACACAAUACAAUUAAAAGCAAAAUAUAAGACAAACAUAUAAUAUAAUAUUUAUAUAGAAUUCACAAUCUCAUAAUGCACCCACAAAUAUUUCUGAUGCUGACAUUUUAAUACUAUAUAAAAUAUAUAUAGUUAUAUCAAAUAAAUAAUAAUAGUUCAUAUGAUGAGUUAAUCAUAAAGUUAAGGUCAAAAUAAUAACCAACAGUCAUGCAUUAUAAUUAAUAGUAGUACUAAUUUACAUAUAAUUAAAAAAUUCAUAAUCAUUAUUUUUCAUGUUUGAUAAAUUUCUUUCUUUCAGUGAAAUAUGUAAUUGCAAAAAAAAAAUUUGAUAUAACAAGUUAAGAACCAGUCUAGAUACUGCCUCAGCCAGUGGGUACUCAUAUAUAUAUAUAUAAAAAGUUAUAAACCCAAAAGAAACAUGCUUCCGCCUUCAGCAGUAGCUAAGUAGCUAACCAAAAAAAAAAGACAACAGUGAUUGAAGUAAAGAAAAAAAGUAGUCAAGUUUAAAACUUCUUCAUUCAGCAGGUUCGGUAUAAAGAAAAAAAAAAGUACGACCAGUCUGCCAAGCUCGAAGUAGAAAAAAAAGCCUUCAUUCAUUCAUUCAGCCAAGCUCGAAGCAGAAAAGAAAAGGGGAAGGAAAAAGAAAUACAUGCCGAACUGCUCGACGUCGACUCGAACGAAGCUGUCGACUGUCGAUCACCUCUCUUGGUCGGUCGCGACUCUGUUGUAGCUUUUGAAAGCCUCUCUGUCGCGACUCUCUGUCGAUCGCCUCUCUGUUUUCUCUCGAGCUCGACUCGAUCGAUUUGUUUUCUCUCUUUUCUCUCGUUGUCGAUCUGUUCGACUAGGUAGGUUUUUUAUCCCUUCGACGUCAUUUUUUUUUUCUUAACUCAGUUCAGUUUUGGGUCGAUCCAUACCCGUCGAAACCAAGUCGGUCGAUUUCCCUGUUAGUCGUCCAAGUCGUCGCCGCGGCGUCCCAGGUGACGCCUUUUUUUUCUGGUCGCUCGCCUUUCCAUCAUUGACCAAGUCGGUCGUUCGCCUUGAUUGAAACUUACCGCCUGGAUGCCGACGCCUUAACAACUUUGACCACUGCUGUUGGCAUCUUGUUACUAUCAAGGUUAGUGCCAUCUUGUACUACCAGAAAAACAGGGGAAGCCUGUAAAUUGUGUCUUAUGUUAAUAGUUUGGUCUUUUCUUUAUGAUAAUCUUCCUACGAGAGAACUUUGGUCUACGUUGUAACAUCAACCGGUGUUUGCAGCUCCUUAAUUGAUUGCGUUUUCUUCUCUCUGUGUUUUUUUUUAAAAUUUUCUAAUAUGUGUGGUUUUGUCUUCGGGGCAUUGUUCUUAGGUUGACUUUGGAAAAGACUAGAGUAUUUAGUCAUCGAGGAUUGAAAAAUUAAUGGCAUUGUGGGGUAUUUUAAUCAUAAUUUGAUUAAAUAUCCAUCAGUAUUAUCUUCUGUGUAAUAGUUUGUCUCAUCUUGCAGGAUAUAUUUUGACUCUUAACAUUUUGACUAAUAAGCCUUAUCAGUAGUGCUUUUGGAUUACACAUUCUUACUCUUUCUUUUCUAUUUUUGCGUUCACAUUUAUUUCUAACCAGAAAAUGUUAAGCUCAAAUAGUAACUUUUUUACUUUUGUUUUGAAGGUUAUCACAUCAAUAAAGUUAUCGUUUGGUGGGUUGGUGGGGGUGUUUCGGUCCAGUGGUUACCCAAUUUGACGUGUUUUAUUAGUCAUUCAUUUUCUUGUUCUUCAUCAAGUCCAUUGGUUUUGUGCAUCUUAUCUCUCUCAUUUUUUUUCUUCCAGAGAUUAGAAGUAGAGCUGCAUAUUUGUUUUUGGGGGAAGUUAUCAAAAUGGUGCAUUGAGCCCGUGGUGGUUUACCUUUUUUAGCCUUGUUAAUUUCUUUUCUACCGCAUUGAGGUGCCUAAUUUUAUGGAUUAUUCUUUAAAUACACUUCCCUGAUUUAUGUGGUCAACUUGACAUGGCAUUUGCUAUCUUGUUUUUGCUAGUUACCUAUUCUAUGUGCAUUUUCAGUUAGCAUUUUCAGUUAGAGAAUUGAUAUUUUCACAAUUAAAUUUAAUAAUUUCACAAGAUUCUCCUCACAUGAAUAAUAAGUGGGGUUCAUGUCAUGUGAGAGAACUUUGUAGAAUUAUCAAAUUUAUUUGUGAAAAUAUUAAUUCUUUUUUAGUUAUUGACUUGAAUUUUCUGUACCUUCUCUUUUGACAAGUUAAUGAAAAAAAGUGGUCGAGCUUCAUUUUUCGUCUUUGUUAAAUUUUUUCCUUAGUUUUUUGGUCUUCCUUGAGUCUUAUUCUUCUUGCUCAUCCUUUAGUUCCAAUGAACCCAUCAUUUGAAUGAUGCUAGGUAAAAAUCAAACCUAUGGCACGGAGAAACCCUUGUCCCCUUAUGUGGCUGUAGGGCUUGCUUCUAUUGGACCUGGAGUUGGUCAAGGUACUGCUGCGGGCCAAAAUAAAGCUUUCUACUGUAGGCCUUAGAGCGAGAGAAGGUUUCAGGCGGGUCUGGGAACAACAGGAUCAAUCUCUGCAGAGUACUCUGGCCUCCUUCAAGGAGUCGAUUGGGGAGAAAGAAGUAUAUUUUGCGGUAGUAGAAAGAAGUAUAUUUUGCGGUAGUAGUUGCGGAACUACUGAGCCAGGAGAGGACAACCUCUUGUCCUCUUUCUUGGCUUAGUGUUCCCAUAGUGAAAUAAUUUUGUCUAGCAUAGUUGAUUUCUUAUCUGAAUUUUAUGGUGCCUACCUAUUGUAUUAUUAUUUUAAUACACUUCCCUUACCUUUUUUUAUAAAAUUUGAAUAAAUAUCCAUCACUAUUAUCUUUUGUGUAAUAAUGUGUCUCAAUUUCCAGGAUAUAUAUUUUGAAUCUUAAUAUUUUGACAAAGCGUUAUUGCGUUUUUGGAUCACGCAUUCUUGCUCUCUUUUCUAUUUUCGCAGUCGCAUUUAUUUUCUUACCAGAAAAUGUUAAGCCCAGAUAGUAACUUUUUUACGUUUGUUUUGAAGGAAUUUUGUUUGAAAAUUACACAUCAAUACAUUAUCCUUUGGUGGGGGUGUUUCAGUCCGGUGUUUACCCAGUUUGAUGUGUUCAUUUGUCUUUUUGUUUUUUGUUUUUUGUUCUUCAUUAAGUCCAUAGAUUAGAAGUAGAGCUGCAUGUGUCUUGGGAUAAAAAGUGUUCUAGGAAUACCUUCAGUGGUUUUGGAUCAGUCAUGCUAUUUUCUUAUUUACUUCUGCAUUUGCAUUUAUUUGUAUCACAAAAAUGACAAUUAACAUAGAGCUUGUAUUAAAGGAAUUAUCUGUGAAGGUUGUACACAUGUUCUAGGAAUACCUUAGGACUAAUUAUAUAUCUUAGUACAUUUUUAGAAAUAAUUACAAUAAUAAUGUAUAGAUAAAAUAAUUACAAAAAUAAUACACUUUUUUCAUAUUUAUUUACAAUAUUAGUGCAAUUAGGAUUCCUUAAUUUAGGGGAUUAGUAUUAGUGGGCUGACAUGGCAAAUCUGGUGGGUUUUUUUUAAUCGCGUGAAAUAUUCUUCUUCUUUCUUCUUUUUCUCCCAACUCCCAUAUCUUUUGUACUGGUAUUUCUCUCUAAAAUCUUCUUCUUCUUCUUCUCUCCGUCCUUACUAUUUAUCUCUCUCCUCUUGAAGCCACUCGUCGUCAGCGGACUGAAUCUACUUCUUCAGACGAUGGAAUUUUUGCUUUGGUAGAACCGCCUCCUUUUGGAACAUACCAUGCGGUAUGUACAUAGUUGAAGUGAUGUUGUCAUACUCUGAGUUUGUACUUCUGGCGACAUUCUGUUUAUGUAAUUUUUUUUAUUGAAGGAAUUUUUCUUUAGCUCUAUGACUGAGUUAUUUGCGAUAGACAUCAUUUAAUAGCAUAAUAUUUGCUAAAGUGGAUAAUUAUUUUCAAAUUGUUUAGGCUCUUAACAUAUAUAGUCUGCUUUUGAAUGAUCAUGAUUGUCUCAUUUUCAUUUUGCCAUUUUACUUCUGCAUCAUAUACUGACACAAGACCAAUUUAUGGGGGCUUGAUGUAAUGCUUACGUUGUAGCUAUGUCAAACAAUAAAAAAUAGAUACUAUCAUAUAACUGUUUGGUUACUUUUGCAUUUUGUUUUGGUUAUUGUUAGCUUAAAAUUCGGAUACCAUUUUUGUUACCUUGAUUUGGUAUUUUGGUUAUUUUUUUAUGUUGUUACGGUUACCGUGUAUUUGCUUAGUAUACAUGGUUGACUAAACUGAUUUUGGUGUACAUGUUGUUUAUGUAUUGGUUACUAUUAAAACAUGUUUUGGUUACUAUCAUAUAAAUUUUUGGUUACUUCUUUAGUAUGUUUUUGGUUACUUCUUUAGCAUGAUUUUGGUUACUUCUUCUAAUGUUUUGGUUACUAACAUAUAACUGUUUGGUUACUUCAAUAGUAUAUUUUUUGUUACUGUUAGCUUAUGAUUUGGAUACCAUUCUUUUUCUCUCAAUUGAGAUUUUGGUUACUUUUAUAUGUUGUUUUGGUUACAAUGUAUUUGCUUGGUAAACUGUUUAUGAUAUGAAUAUUGUUUAUAUCUGAUUAUUAAUGACACUGUAAAUCUAAUUUUGUUUAUUUGCAGUUAUGGAAUCUUUACUAUGAGGAAUGCAAUAGAAAAUUCAUUUGAAAAGUUAUAUAUUGGUGUGACAUGGAAGUCUCCGACAUUACCAAGAAAUUGAACCCAAGACAAUUGAAGUUUAAGGCAUCAUUAGUUUGUGGAUGUAUUAUUUUUGUAAAUAAUAAACCAUGUAUUUGCUUAGUAAACAUUGAUGUAUUAUUUUUGUAAAUUCCUUCAAAUAUCUUUUACAAGGGUUAUGCUCUUCUAGAAAAUUCAUUGAAAAAGUUAUGGUUAAAUGUACAUGUGAGAGUAUACAUGGGUUGCCUAAACUUGGUUGGAUAUACAGGUUGUUUCUGUUUUGGUUACCAUUAAAACAUAUUUUGGUUACUUUCAUAUAAUUAUUUGGUUACUUCUUUAGACUAAAAGACAAUGUGCACCCCAAAUUUUACACCCUUGUUGACAUUUGCACCCUAAACCAAAAAAGGUGUAAGUACACCCCAAAUUUCAAAUAAACGUAAUAAAAAGCACACUGUCGUCAAUUUACCGGUCAAAAAUGACCGGCUAAGGCUGUAAUGUGGGAUCUAGAGGGGUAUUUAAGUCAUUUUCUUUUCAUCUUCCCCAAUAUCUGGUCUUUUUUCCUUCUUUCUCUCCUCCAUAACCAACUUCCUAUCUCUUCUUUAUUUCUCUCAUCUCCUUCCAUCUCACAAACUGAAAAUGGCUUCUUUAUUUCUCUCUCCUUCCAUUUGUUUGUCGGAAUUUAAUCCAGUUGUUUGAAUUGCUUUGAUGCAGUUGCUUACUGCAAAUACACAAUUACUCGGACACACUUCCAUUAAAUUCAUCCGAGUCUAACCUCAUCUUGUGGUGCCUGGCCUCCCUAUGAACUCUGACUUUCUCAAUCUUCUUAAUGGCCUUAAAACUGAGUUAAUAGACAAGCAGGAGGUGGAUUAAUUCAAAUGUUAAGUUCUUUAAUGUUAAGUCCUUAAAACUGAGUUAAUAGACAAGCAGGAGGUGGAUUAAUGAGUUUACCAUACAUCCACCAAGUGUAAAGCAAGUAUGAGUUUCUUGGAGUAUGAGAGUAACACUAAACAACAUAUGUCUGAUAAUUAGACUGUUGGUAGAAGAAGCUUAAUGUAUACUCCCACCCGUUCCAUGUCUCCUUUCUGCUUUCCAAAUUUCGUUCCUUUCCACCUCGUUCUCUCUAAAAGAAUUACCUAAAUUGUAUUUCUAUGUUCAAGUUCUUUUAAGUUUCGGCUGAAACAAAGAAAGAAGGCCAAUAAUUGAAUUUAUAAAUUGAUUUGGGAAGGAAAUUCGAACAGCAUCAGCAAAGGGAGUUUAUAAGUUAAUUAGCAAAGUUAAAAUUUUAGCAAAUUAAAUUUGGUGCAAGGUAAUAUUGAUGUUCCCAACUAUUUUUAGAAAAUUGAAUAAUUAUUGCUUGUGUAUCAUUGUUGCUAUGGUUGGGUUAUAAAUUAUUAAAGAGGAUGUGUUGUAAUCGUUGUGCAGAUUAAUAAUGGUGGAAUUUAUGGGUUAGAAUCCAUCUAAACAUGUAUGAACUCUGUUUUUAAAAGUAAUGCAUUUAGUAUGUUUGAUAAUAUGGCUCUUAGAGGUGGUCAAGCAAAAAAAGGGGAAUUGGUCAAGUUUGUGAACAAGGAAGUCUUUAUAUAUGUUAUAUGAAGUAAUCAAAGUAGUUUGAGCAAGUCAAAUUGAGUUCAAAAGCUAUAUUGAGAGAGAUGAACAAAUUGAGUUUGGCUAAAAAACUGCUUCAACAUGCCAGUUUCUCUUCAUCCUAAAAUUCUUGUGGCAUUUAAUCUACAAAAUUGGAAUAUCUGUAAAUGGCAAUUUAUGAAUCAUAAUAUCACGUCGAUGAGCUCAGUUUAUGAAUAUGGAAGGAGAGGAGAGAAAUAGGGAAACCAUUUUCGGUUUGUGAGAGGGAAUGAGAUGAGAGAAAUAGAGAAGAGAGGGGAAGUUGGUUAUGGAGGAUAGAAAAAAGGGAAAAAGACCAGAUAUUGGGGAAGAUGAAAAGAAAAUGACUUAAAUACCCCUCUAGAUCCCACAUUACAGCCUUAGCCGGACAUUUUUGACCGGCUAAUUGACGACAGUGUGCUUUUUGUUACGUUUAUUUGAAGUUUGGGGUGUACUUAAACACCUUUUUCAGUUUAGGGUGCAAAUGUCAACAAGGGUGUAAAAUUUGGGGUGCAGAUUGUCUUUUAGUCAUUUCUUUAUUAUGUUUUGAUUACUGUUACCUUAUGGUCUGGCUACUAUUAUUGUGCCAUCAAUAUGGGAUUUCAGAUAUUUUUAUUUUUUAUUCUGGUUAAUAUGUAAUUGUUUAGUAUACAUGGAUUGCCUAAAUUGGAUUUCAUUACAUGAUGUUUCUGUUUUGGUUACUAUUAAAAUCUGUUCUGGUUACUAUCAUAUAAUUAUGUGGUUACUGUUUUAUUAUGUUACAUUAUGGUUAAUGUUAUUAGUAACCAGAUAGUUACAAGCUUGUAUCAGGACAAACAUCAAUUGUCAAAUGUACAUGUGUGAGUGUCCUAUUUAUCUACAAGCUUGUUAGUAACCAGAUAAUUAUCAUAGAUAGUUACAAGCUUGUUAGUAACCAGAUAAUUAUAAGCUUGUAUCAAGACUGUUAUCAAGUGUUAAAUGUAUAUGUUUUAUUUAUACCCUGUCAUCAUGAUAGAAUAAGAAACUCCAAUUAAGAGUUCUCAUUUAUAUAUAUGAUGGUCACUUAUAGAUCUCAUAUUAAAAUAAAAAUAGUUUAAGAGGUGCAGUUGGUAACCAAACCUGCAUAUAAGGGUAACCAUUUAAGUUUUUGUUAGCAACCAAAUAAUUAACAACUUAUAUCAGAACAAUUAUCAAGUGCUUAAUGUACAUGUGAGGGUUCCCAUUUAUCUAGCUGAUGGAUACUUUUAAAUUUUGAAGUUAUAAAAGUUAUUUGAAAAUGGUCCAUGCCAAUUGGUAACUAAAUAUGAAUAUAGAGGUAACCAUUUUAUUUUAGAUGGGUAACCAAAUUUACAUAAAAAUAUUUUAGAACAGUUACCAAUUGUUCAAUGUAUAUGUUUACUUUAUAUUGAUAACUCAUGAUGGAAUCAAAAACCAACCAUGUGGUUAAUGGUUACUAAAAGUAAACAAUUAUAUAUUUCUAUAAACAAUUAAAUUUAUUGUAUUGGUUACUGUCAGUCUCCAUUGUCUGACAACUGAAUAAACAUUGUAAAGUAACCAAAUCAAUAUUAGAUAGUAACCAAAUUACAUAAUCUUAGUAACUAGAAUAUAAACCACAUUUUUACAUACAAUUUUGAAGGCCUAAAUGAUGGAAUUUGACCAAAAAAUUAUGCAGUUCACCAGCAAAGCUUGUGAUUUUUUAUCGUUGACCCGUUUCUAAUGAAAUUAGGCUCCGAAAACGCCAAAAUCUGACACUCCAAUCUUGACAGAAAUUACCAAAUUGUCACUUGAUCAAAUCUUUUCAUAACUAUAAAAACACCAGUACAAGUGUACAUUAAUAUUAUUCAGCAACCAAAUAAAUAUUAUACAAUAAUAAAUUAAAUAGUAUACAAUAAUCAAUAUAUAUAAUCAGAUUAACAGUUGUAUGAAGGUAACCAAUGUAGUCAAUAAGUAACCACCAAUAUAUAAGAAACAAUUAUAAAAUACAAUAAUAUUAUACAGUAACCAAAUAAACACCUUACAGUAUCUAAAUACAUAUUAGACAGUAACCAAUAUAUCAGAUAAAGAAACCUUUUAGUAUGUUUUUGGUUACUGUUAGUUUAUGGUGUGUAAAGUAACCAACUCAAUGUCAGACAGUAACCAAACUACAUAAUGUUAGUAACCAGAACAUGAACUGGGGAUAAUAUUAUGCAGUAACCAUUGCAAUUUUACACAGUAACCAAGUCAGCAUUAUAUACUAACCAAAUUCAGAUUAGACAGUAACCAACAGUUGCAGGAAGAUAACCAAUGUAUUCAAUAAGUAAUCAUUAAUAUAAAAAACAUCAGUGGAAUAAACUUUAAAAUUAUAAAGCAAGCAUAUAAACAUUAUACAGUAACCAAAUCAAUAAUAAAUAGUAACCAAUUUAUAUGUAUUUAGUAACCAGAGUGUAAAACAUUUUAAAAUGCAUUUUGCAUUCACAACAUUCAUAAUUAUUCUGACUUUGUGACCAUUUAAAGAGCGAAAAAUUUGAGAAAGGUAACCAAUAGACAAAUACGUAGUAAACACGGGGUAACACUAUACAUAUAAAUUGAAAACUCAAAUACCUCAGUAUACAAAUUUGUAAGGGAUCAACAAUCAGUGCAGUUGCAGUAAGUUUCUGGUUAUAGAUCUUGAAGUUGCUGUCGAUCUUUUAUGUUCUUCUCCGAUCUGCAGUUCAUCACUUUCUGGUUAUAGAUCUUGAAGUUGCUGUCGAUCUUUUAUGUUCUUCUCCGAUCUGCAGUUCAUCACUUUCUGGUUAUAGAUCUUGCAGUUGCAGUAAAUUUCUCCGAUUUGUUCUUCUCCGAUCUCAGAGUUGCUGUCGAUCUUUUAUGUUUUGUUCAGUUGCUUGAAUUUAGGGAGAGAUAAACGUGUAGGGAGAGAUAAAGAUCCGUAAUUUUAGCAACGUAAUAUUAUGUUGCGUUAUUUUUGUAAUUAUGUUGUUUGUGUUUUAUUUUUGUAAAUACUUUCUAAUUGUUGUAUAUUAAUGUUAAGGACCCAAUACCUUAUCGCUAUAUUUUGGCAAGUCAAUCCCAAGAAUUGGAAAUGGAAUUGAAAGAAUUUUAUAGAAGUGGAAUUUAGCGAACAGGGCCAUUUGUUUUUAAACAAAAAAUGUGAGGACUUCAAGUUUGCUUAUUAUAUAAUAAUAGUCCAUUCACUUUAUCAACUGCUAAGAAGAAUAGAAAGCCUACAGUAGAAAGUAUAAAUUGAUUUGUUUUGACAAAAGGCAUGCAAAUGAGAGUAUUAGUUAACUUUUAACUUUUUCUUAAUGAAAUAUUUGUCAAUCUCAAUGUGCUUCAUUCUGUAAUGGUUGCUUUAUUGUCACAAAAUAAUCUCAUUGGCUCGUUAGUUAUGAUUUCAAUGUUUUCAACCACAUUAAUUCACGCACACUCAAGACAGUAGCUCGAAAUAACAUCCAGAUGUUGAACGGUGGUUAUCAAUACCAUCAGCCCAAUCUGUAUCGGUAAAAUCUUUUAUCCUCAUGGUCAGGAUGUGUAAAUAAUGUUUCUUUUUCAGGAGCAGAUAUUAGAUAGACAACUUCUAUGUGAUAAUCAUGUCGAUCAUGCAUAUAUUAAUUUACUAUUCGCACAACAUCGAAAAUAUCAUGUCUAUAUUGAUUUACUACUCCCACAACAUAGGAAUUAUCUAGUCUAGUGUGGGAAAGGUAAAUUAGUGUUCUCACUAUUCGUUGAUAUCUCUCGUUAUUAACAGUGGGUCCUAGACAUGCACAUGGUCAAGGCCCAGGUCCUUUUUAUUUUGAGCAAAAUUUAGCCCUGACUGUCGUGGCUAAAAGUCUGACCUAGACUAGCCUUUGGCCUGAGUCAUGGGCUCAACCUUGUGCAACAUGCCUAGACUACUAGCCUUUUGCUUGGUUGGCUUGUUGGUUGUGUUGAUAAAUUAAGGAAAAUUACUUUUUUUUUCUAAACAAUGUGGGACUUAGAUCUAGUUAUUAUGUGCAAUCCUAAUCGUUGGUAAUUUCCCUAAUUUUCAUUUGAACUUUUCUUUUCAGCUUUAGCCACGAACCUGCCCUCACAUUAUAGAUGUCAACCGUUGCACGACAAGCACUUCCGACCAAUGUUUUAAAACUCGGACCGAACGGUCGGACUGGUAAAAGUCGUCGGUCCGCCUUUCGGUCCAGUUUGGCCCAGUAACCCAAUUUUGGUCAAAACUCGGGUUGACCCGUUGACCACCUUUUUUAGUUCAACGGUUCGACCACUGGUUGGACCAGUGAUCCAUCCAUCGGAUAUUUUUUCUAGAACGGUCCAGUUCUAAAAACCUUGCUUCCGACAAUCCAUUUCCUCUCUAUUCUUCCCUUCUCCCCUUCCAUCAUGACAACGAUUUAGGGCAUCCAGCACUACAACGAUUUAGGGCUUUCUAGUCCAAUUUCAAAUAUAUUUUUCCUCCCUUCUUCAGCUUUCACACUAACAUACCCAAUUAUUUAAAUUUGCUUAUCAAAUGAUUCGGAUUUUAGACACUCUUGUUUUAGUUUGGGUAAAUUACACCUAUUUCUGAAAAUGUUCGAACUAACUUGGGUUUCAUUUUUUGGUCUUUUUGAAAAAGAUUAAUCAACUAUUGAGUCUUUUUGAAUAUAUAUUGUUGGUUGUUCUGAUAGGCAGCGGUCGGUAUAUUGACCACAUACCUAUCUUUCUUUCUCAGAGAAUUAAGAUGCAAACUCUGCAAAAACUUAUUCUCUCUCAUGAAUCCCCUCAAUGGGUUAGCCUAUCCUUCACUAAUCACAGAAUCCAUCAAGACCAAUCUGGGUCAAGUGAACCCGUCUGUUGGCUCUCCAGCACCACAAGAUCAAACAAAGACGCACCAUUCGAAUCAAUCAAUGAGCUCUUAAUUGUCAAACAAUCUCUUGAACAAGGUGAAGAAGAACUCAUUUUUUGCGAUGAAAAACAAGUGGUUUAAAUGGUAAAUUAUUUGGUUCCAAAUUCUGUACCGUUUAUUCUUUUGGUAUGAGGAUUGAAACUAGUGAUGUGUAGCUUAUAUACAUAUGCUCAGCUGGCUUACAGUGGACUUGAUAAAUAAAAUGGUAAAAUAAUAUAAUUUAGGAAUAUAAAUUGAAUGUUGCGACAUGAAUGAAUAUAAGGGUAGUAGAUCAGAAACCUUUCCCUUGCAAUAAUAGUUAGCUAUAUUAUGUGGCUAGGCCUGACCUCCUUCUGUUUGAGCCUGGGUCUAGCCUAAAUAAUGGUCAAAGCCAGGCGACCUAUUUGUGCAUGUCUUUGUUAAUAGAUUAAGCACAUACUAAUGUUGGGAUAAGAAGAUAUUGCAACUUCUAUGCUAAUAAAAUAUUUUUUGUAAUUUCUAUGUAAGAAAAUAUUUGAAGGGGUAAGGUCUUUGAUUUCAAAUUCAUUGGUAAGUUUUGCCUUGCGAUUAACCAUCUCUUUUUUAUUAUUUUUAGUUGCUACAAUGUUAUUGACAUAGACAAUGAGAAUGAUAAUAUUGUCAUUUUCACGUUUGACAAACAUAGUGUGAUCUGGCCGUUUUUGUUUAUACCCAAAUCUCAUCAUGGUUUUAUAGAACAUGUCAAACCUUGACAAAAAUAGUGUGAUUUGCUCGGCUUUGCACUUUGCUUGUACCCAAAUCUCAUCAUGGUUUUAUAGAACCUGCCAAACCUUGACGAACAAAAUGUGAUCUGCCCGGCUUUUCUUAUACCAAAAUCUCAUCAUGGCUUUAUAGUGUGAUCUGUUCGACUUUGCUUGUACUCAAAUUUUAUCAUAAUUUUAUAGAACCUGUCGAACUUUGUUCUAGGGACCGUUUCAACCCAUAUAGAGGUAUAUAGAGCAACAGAAAACAUAUAAAAGGGAUUUGGAUUCUAGGCGGUCCAAAUAGGGCAAUUCAUUUGGACAGUCAUAUGAAAACAAGUUGAAUUUGUAUAACUGAGAGUUAUAAUAGUAUAAUAUAUGAAUUCGAAAUGCAACUCUGACCUAUAUGAAUGCAACUCGUUUGUAUAAAAUGCCCGAAUAGAUUGUCCAUUUCUAACUGUGACAUUAGGAUCCAUAUAAAACCUAGUAUAAGAUUGUGCACUUCCUCAAGGGUAUCUAGCUAGAAUGUAUCGCUCCCGUGUAUAAGCAGAUGUUGUAUAUUCUUGAAUUUGUUAAAAUAGGAAGAUGCAUACUGAAUAGCAAGUUCCCUUUAGCUGGGGCCUUUCAAUUCUAAUCUCUUUUGGUACUUCAACAAUGAACUCUAAACUUUGGUUAAUAAACUUCAAACUCUGGUUUAUAAACCUUGAAACCUUGUUAAUAAAGUAACCUUUAUUCUUAUUAGCGGCAGAUGAUAUGUGUUUUUUAUUGUCCGCUAAUAAUAGUAGCGGACGUCGAUUUCUAAUCGUUCCUUUUUAUUUUGGUGUAUGUCCUAUAAGAAUUUAUAGCAAAUGCAUAUUAUGGAUCAUUCUCAUAUAUAUAUAUAUAUAUAUAUAUAUAUAUAUAUAUAUUUCUGCUUGAAAUUCUUAUUUAUUACUCCCUCCGUUCCUUAAUAUAAGUUAUUUUAGAGAAAUGUUUUUAUUCCUAAAUAUAAGUCGUUUGAGAAUUUCAAGUAAGUAUUAAUUGCUUAGUUUCCAAUAUUACCCCAAGUAAUAAAUAUAACUUUGGUUCCCUCACUAUUUUUUGUCCAAUAAAUAACACUCUUUUUUUUCAAUACAAGGGCAAUAUAGACAAUUGAUAAUAUAUUUAAUGUUUUAUAAUCAUUUUCUUCAUACAUGCACAACUCUAAAACGACCUAUAUUAAGGAACGGAUAGAGUACUAUGUAAGAAGAAGCCACCAAGAAGUGCAAUUCCGUAUGUGACUCAUUGAUUUCCAAGUUUUAACAAUUCUUAGUGUUAAAACUCCCCCCUGAUCCUACUUUAGUAAUUUCAUUUAUUUUCUGUCUAAAAUAUUUCUCAUGGACCUAAAUCAUAUCAUGAAGUCGUCUUAAUUUCAUUUUCACCUUUUGCAAAACCCCGGAACAAGUCCAGUCUCCUAACUAGUACUCUUUCAUCAUCUUUAUCUCUAUGAUCAACAAAAUCGACAUUGAGAUCGAUUUCAGAUAAAGGAGCUCGAUUUCUCUGUCGUGGAGCCAUGUCAAAGUAACGAUCAAAAUAAUCCUUAGAAAUCUCGUUUGAAGUCUAUUGAGAAUGAGAUCCAUUAUGCUUGCAUAUGCCUCUUUUAGUUGUGUUUAGCCGGAGAAAAAAUUUGGCGGAAUUUUAUUUUUUUGCGGAGAGAGAAAUUUUUUAUCAGGAUGUGAAACGUCCAUCAAUUAUGAGAGUGUAAAAUGAAGUCUGGUGUUAAUGGAGAAUUAACACCCUGUUUCUGAGUUUUGAACAGAAAAGAAAAGAAUAGAAAACUUAAAUUAGAACAGAAAAGAAAAAAAUAGAAAAUUUGAAAUUUUCUUCUGUGUUGUUUCUGAGUUUUUAAUAGAAAAGAAUAGAAAAUUUAAAAUUGAGGACAUGAGUUGUAAUUUAAAAUUUAUUAUAUUAAAAGUUGAGGAUAAUAUGAGAAUUAUAAAAAUAUUACUUAUUCCAAUUUCUUUUCCGUCCAAAUCAGGCCAAUUUUAGACGAAAAACUUUGGCAAGAAAAGUGGUCAAGUUUUCUAUCUAUUUCUUUUCCUUUCUGUUUAUUAAAAAAUUCAGAAACAUAAGAAUUGGAAAGAAAACUUAAAUUUUUCGUCCAUUUCUUUUCUUUUCUGUCUAUUUUAAAACUCAGAAACAAAGCGUAAAUGAGAUUAAAGUAUUAAUUAAGGGUAAAAUAGUAAAAUUGUAUCUAUUCUUAAUCUGUGUAAAAAUUUCUAGAACGUCAGAUAUAAUGAGAUGAAGAGAGUAGUAGACUUCGAAACUACCACCUUCCACCCCCGUGGGAACUCGUCAUCUACUUUGCUCCUGCCCUCGUCACCAUUAGAAAUUAAAGCUUUGUCCCCACGCCAUCCAAGGAUUCUAGGAAGCAAUAAAAAUUGAGAGCAGAUCCUUUGUCCCCAAAUUCCCUGUCCCCCUUGUGUCCCCCUACUUAAAUUUUAACACAUGUUCUUUUAUUUAAUUUUAGAAUUAAAUAAUGUUAAUAGACUAGGUGUCAAAAUUUAAGUGAAGGAACACAAGGGGAUAGGAAAAUUAAGGACAGGGGAUCUGCUCUCAUAAAAAUCCUAGAUACAGUCAAGCCAAGAUGCGCCACAAAUUUGGAUUGAUUUACGAGUUUAUUGGCUUUAACCAAUGGAUGUAUGACACUACACAUGUUAUGUGACGCCCCGAAAAAUAGGUAUACAUCACCCAUCUUGAGUAGCCAGAUACAUGGUACAAAAUACAAAUACAACUUAAUUAUACAAACGUCGUGUAAAAAUACGAGAAAACAUAACUGAGAGUUUUAAUAAGAAUAUUGUUAUCUAGACAAUAUUCACACUCAAAGGAGUCCUCAUUACAUUUAUUGUCACACUAUUUAACAGAAUAGUGAGGACUACUAAUGCUAUUAUCUGGACCGUCACUCCGUUCCCCGACUCGUCCCAACUAUAUUCUCAUUUCCUGAAGAGAACAAUGAAAACAAAAGGGUGAGCUCAACUAACCCAGUAAAAAAUAUUGUGACUAAGAUAAUGCAGAAUAAAUUAUCGUUACCCGUUAACAGUAUUGAACUGAUACAAUAUAACAAACAUCAAGUUUAACUAUAGCGGAAUAAGCAAUCCAUUAAAAGAGUCAAGUAGAGAAUAAAAUCUACUAUCUUUUAUGAUUUAAAAAGAUUUUUCAUCACUUUUAUCGCUGGGACUCAGCUUAAUAAAUAAUCCACAUCAUCCCUGCACUACGGCCAAUGAUAUUCAUUAGUAUCACAACCACAAAUUAUUCAUGCACUACGGGCCAAGGAUAUUCGUGUAUUCAUCAAUGGUCAUAAUCAUACCAACAACUGUCCAUCAAUGCACUACUGGCCAAUGAGGACUUUUACCACAUCAUUUGUAACAUUACGGUCAUGAUUGUACCGAAUAAUUCCUUGUCAUAAUCAUACCAAGUCCAUCUAUGCACUACAGACCACAGAUGACUUUCAACAUAAUAUAAACAUGAGGAUGAUGACAAUGAUAUAAGAAUUCAAUAAAACAAGUUCAAGAAUUAAUUUAUCUAGGAACUAAUAACGUCCAAAUUGUCAACAUGAUACUUCUUUGUAGAGUAAAAUUCAAGAAUGCUCAGAAGAAUAUUUCCAUGAAAAGAUACUGGAUGAAGCGCAAAUAUCAAGGAUAUUCCACUAAUUUCAUGGAGUAUAGAAGUCAAAACUUUAACCAACUGAAUAUAAAUAAGAAUGGAAUAAUAAAAGAAAUCACCAGGCAUGCAAUAGACCGCACAUACAGGUUAUUCCAACAGAAUAAUAAAUAACGGAACCAGGUCAUGCGUAAACGCACAGACAGGAUAUUCUAACAGAAUAAUAAAUAAUGAAACCAGGUCAUGCGUAAACACACAGACAGGAUGUUCCAACAGAAUAAUAAAGAAUGGAAUAACAGAAGAAUUUCACCAUGUAUGCGGUACUUCGCAUAGACAGGUUAUUCCAACAUAAUGAUAAAGAAUGGAACAACAGAAGAAUUUCACCAUGUAUGCGGUACUUCGCAUAGACAUAUUAUUCCAACAUAAUGAUAAAUAAUGGAAUAACAAAAGAAUUUCACCAAGUAUAAGGUAGCCCGCGUAUACAGGUUAUUCCAACAGAAUAAUAAAGAAUGGAAUAACAGAAGUUCUCUUCAUGAAUACGAAAGAAAUAAUACCCCUUACGAUUACAACAAAUAAUAUCCCUUACCUUAGAAGAAAGUGGAUAUAGAAGUAGUGAAGUAACAAAAUACUUUUUUUUUCUCUCUAUAGUUUCUCUCUCUAGAGUUUCAGUGAAUUCCUAAGAAAUAAUGAAAGAAUGAGCUUCUAUUUAUAGGAGAAUGGACUGAAUAGUAACUAACUCAUGAACGGUCCAGAUUGAUUUACUUUUAAACGGAUGGUCCAUAUUGAUUUACUAUGCAGUAUUAAUAAAAUAUUCUAAUAAAACAAAAUCUUUUAAAUAAAAUAUAAUAUAUUCUAUUUAUAAUCUAAUAAAACGAAUAACUUUAUAAAAGAUUUUACUAUGCAAAUACUAUGCAGGCACUAUGUAAAUACUAUGCAUAAUAAAAUAUAGUAUAUUCUAAUUAUUAUCUAAUAAAACAAAUAACUUUAUAAAAGUAUUUUGUUUUAUAUAAAAAGAUUUUACUAUGCAAAAUACUAUGCAUAAUAAAAUAUAAUUUAAUAACAUUUAUCAUCAUCAUUAUAAUUCACAAUAUUAAUCGAUCAGGUCGUUCCCAGGAAAGAGGGGGCUUUCCAAUAACGAUUUCUCCUUAUUGGCGCGCAAUUAGGUGACCAAACCUCCCCUCGACAGAAUUUUCUAGACAUCGUUAAUAUUGUAAAUAAUAAUAUGAAUAAUUGUAUCGUCUCAAUUAUUGAUUUAAUAAUAUAUAAAAUAUCGACAAUAAUUGAAUCAAAUAACGUGAGAUACUAUGCAACAAUUACUGUAGCAAUAAUUGAACAAAACUGAGUGACUUCUCACGUAAGCAUCAAUAAUCAAUACCGUGUGCUACUAUGCAACCACGCGUAUUACUGUACUUUUAACACCGGGUGUUUCAACAGUUAACGGUAAAACUUCCGCCGUUAUUUUCAUAAAGUAUUUUUGUCGUUUUCUCAAUCCGACAAUAAUUCCGUUGUGGGGUCCACCAAUGAUUGUGCCGUUGUACGAAUAUUCCCUGUUAAAACGAAUAUUCCCCGACCAAUCGAAUAUUAUAUAACAACUUGCGUACUUUGCAAAAUUUAUAAAUAUUACCCACAACUAUAACAUUAUAUCAAAUCCACACCAUAAUAUUCAAAAAAAUAUUUCGAGAAAUUUAAAUCUUUAUUCAUAAAAUUUGGGGUCUCACAUGUUAUCCUUACAUUUAUUCAGUACUUCCAUAAUAAACGUUCUAAUUUGACUUUCAUGGUCAAAUUGAUCAUUUUUAUAAUUAUAAAUAUUUAUAUUGAAUUUUCAAAAUCCCUAGUAAUAAAUUCUUCGUAGUUUAUUACGAUCAUAAUCACUUGUCACAUAUUUUGAUUUUUUUUAAAAAAAUUAUUAAUUUAAAAAAUGGCGAAUUUGAUCAUGAAAGUCAAAUUAUGACGUUUAUUAUGAGACCGAGAGAGUAUGAAAUAAGUUUUGAUUGAAACUCGUUUAGCUACCGAGUCUAGCACGAUCUCGAAUCGAGUUUGACUAGUUUGAAUUUUUUGAACGAAUGUGAUCUUAUUGAAAAUUACUAGGUUGGAGUAAAUUAUCGAAUUUUAUUCAACUUGUGAUUUUGGAGUAGCUAGAUGAGUUGAAGGGUUGCAUUUGCAUGUGUCGACACAAGUGAUGGGGUAUAUAUAUAUACAGAGAAGUUCUUAGACGGACCAAUUUGAACGGACUUGCAACGGACCAAAGGCAAAAAAAUAGCAAAAAAGCACGCGAGUCACAAAAUGGGUUAAAACAUGAGGCGGGUCACAAAAAAAAGGGGGGGGGAAACAAAGUUACUGCCGUCUGCCGAUUCCCUCUCUCUCUCCACGAUGCUCUCUCCCCAAAUCCUGCCGAUUCUCUCUCCCCGAUUCUGAGUAGUUUUUGCAUUUUUUCCAAAAAUUCCCUCUCUGUCAAAGCGAGUCUGAAGCAAACCGGAAGGAAAAAAGAUCGAACAGAACUUGUUGUAAACAGAGAGGUAAAGAUUCUGAGCAUAUAAAUCUUGUAAUUUCAAUUUGAUUUGAAAGAAAUCUAUGUAAUUUCAAUUUGAUUUGAAAGAAAUCUAGGGUUUCUGAGCAUAUGCUUUUUGUAAAGUCGCGUGAAUCUCUCUCAAACCCCUUCUCGCAAACCAAAUCGCGAGGUCAUUUUGGCUAUACCUGUAAGGCGAAGUUUAGAUCUGUAAGUUGAUAUUAAUUUCUGAAUUAUUAACUGUUGAUUUGGUUGUAGAUGUACUUAGUCACACAGUUGACAUCAAAAUAAUGGAAAUAGUCUCAAUUUUUCUUAGACCUUAGAAGUCUGCCCUGUUUCUUAAAAUGUACACAGACUGUUAAGUAAACUGCGUUACCCUGUUAGAGCUACCCUAAGACUUCAUUUCUAAACUUUCUUAGAAUUGUUUACAGUUGAUUUAUAAAUCUCUUUGUUUUACAAAUGUCAAGAUAACAAGUGAUAUGGGUAGUUUUUGAACUGGGUUAGUGUUGUAGAUUUUGAUCGAAUUGUAAAUGGGGCUGUGUAUUUUAUGGGUUUUGUUUCAUUUAUUCUUCACAUAUGUAUGAUUGUUAUUUGAGCUGUCAUCUAUCUAAUAAACUGUUUUACUUUGAUAUGGGUGAAAUGACAAAAUAAGCAAGUACAAAAAUGAAUAUUUAUGUUUGUUUUUUUGGUUCAAAGAUGCAUAAGUUAUUUUCUUUUUGUUUUUUUUCUCUUGCCAAAUGUUUGUAUAAAUACCCAACUAGGAUAAGAACAAAGCUGUCUAAUCAGACAUGAGAAUGAACCUAAUCUGAUAUUCAAAUGAACAAAUGAAUACAUUAUUAUUAUACUGCUUAUGUGUUGAAGGCUUAUGUAGUUUUGCUUGAAUUGUAGACAUGAAUACAUACUGCUUAUGUGUUGAAGGCUUUUGUAGUCAUUAUUAUUAAUAUCAUUAUGAUGAUUCUUUGUUUGUCUUGACCUUGAAUUAACCGUCCUGCACAUUCUGUAGUCCUUGUUUCUCUCUUUACUUCCUUCCCCUGUCUUAAUGGUUGGUUUACAUUAUAUAAAUCCUUUAAAUCUUUUCAGUGACUUGUUGCUAAUUGCUUUUUUCCUUUCUCUCUAAUAGGUAUGUUUAUUUGGGUCUUUUUCUGAAGAUGAAGUCAGGUCCUUGUUCAACUAGUCACCUGAAACUGCUAGUGAUGCUUUGAUUAGUGGAAGCGAGGUUAACACUCCGGCUCAUGGGAGUGAAAUGGGCACUACGGUUCAUGGUGAUGGUGAUGAAGAUAUGGAGGAUAUGGGAGUGAAAUGGACACUACGGUUCAGUCUGCUCUCAGCAUGCUUUGUGGUCUCUUUAUUGUACUAUUUGCAGUUUUUCUUUGUUAGUUGUGGAUUGGUGGUGAUCAGAAUGAAUGUUAUAAUUUUGUCCCUACCUAAUCUCACUUCUGAUGUAUUAAUAUUAGAAUUGGAUUUUGAUUACGAUUAGAAACCUUGGAAUUUUAUUGUUAUCAUAGUGAAAAGUGGGGUGUUUGAGUAUGUUAUUUGUGCAAAUCAUAAGCAUGGAGUCAUCUAAGUAUAGAUGUGGAUUUUCUUUUGUUGAUGAAUGGUUGUGUCCAUUAGAAUUGCAUAGCAGCCAUAGCUUGCUCCAUUUUGUA
rnacentral:lncRNA from 1 species